rnacentral:rRNA from 1 species
GACGAACGCUGGCGGCGUGCUUAACACAUGCAAGUCGAACGGAAAGGCCCUGCUUUUGUGGGGUGCUCGAGUGGCGAACGGGUGAGUAACACGUGUGUAACCUGCCCUUGACUUUGGGAUAACUUCAGGAAACUGGGGCUAAUACCGGAUAGGAGCUCCUGCUGCAUGGUGGGGGUGGGAAAGUUUGGGCGGUUGGGGAUGGACUCGCGGCUUAUCAGCUUGUUGGUGGGGGAGUGGCUUACCAAGGCUUUGACGGGUAGCCGGCCUGAGAGGGUGACCGGCCACAUUGGGACUGGGAUACGGCCCAGACUCCUACGGGGGGCAGCAGUGGGGAAUAUUGCACAAUGGGCGGAGGCCUGAUGCAGCAACGCCGCGUGCGGGAUGACGGCCUUCGGGUUGUAAACCGCUUUCGCCUGUGACGAAGCGUGAGUGACGGUAAUGGGUAAAGAAGCACCGGCUAACUACGUG